rnacentral:misc_RNA from 1 species
GUUUUGAGCAAUUCUCACCAGAUGAGCUAGUUUUGAUGUUGAGUUAGGCCCACGGUCAUCCAUUUGUAUUUUUGGUGUGUCCAUGCUGGAUUCCCAUGUUAUGUUGUACACACUCCAUAUGUCUUGUAUUGGGCCUAUGCCAGCAGUGGAGAGAGGGAGGGCAUUGCUAGUCCCAAAUGGGUGAGGGGAUGAUUUGUUUUCUCCUUAUAUGAUUUUAGACAAGCCCUACUUAAUUAACUUUUUGUCGAGUUAGGUCAAGGUCUAUUUUCUUG